rnacentral:rRNA from 1 species
GAUGAACGCUAGCGACAGGCUUAACACAUGCAAGUCGAGGGGCAGCAUAGAAGUAGCAAUACUUUGGUGGCGACCGGCGCACGGGUGAGUAACGCGUAUGCAACCUACCUAUCAGAGGGGGAUAACCCGGCGAAAGUCGGACUAAUACCGCAUAAAACAGGGGCACCGCAUGGUGAUAUUUGUUAAAGAUUAAUUGCUGAUAGAUGGGCAUGCGUUCCAUUAGGUAGUUGGUGAGGUAAUGGCUCACCAAGCCGACGAUGGAUAGGGGAACUGAGAGGUUGGUCCCCCACACUGGUACUGAGACACGGACCAGACUCCUACGGGAGGCAGCAGUGAGGAAUAUUGGUCAAUGGGCGAGAGCCUGAACCAGCCAAGUCGCGUGAAGGAAGAAGGAUCUAUGGUUCGUAAACUUCUUUUGCAGGGGAAUAAAGUGGAGGACGUGUCCUCUUUUGUAUGUACCCUGAGAAUAAGGAUCGGCUAACUCCGUGCCAGC